rnacentral:rRNA from 1 species
AGUCAAGCAAAUAAAGGCGAAUGGUGGAUACCUAGGCACACAGAG